ensembl:lncRNA
CAUAACGCUAUUGUACCGGUAUAUCAUCCAAUUCAUUGACCAGAUGGAUAUAAGAACAUUCUUUAGGAGAGGUGGCAGCUCCGCCCAGUCAGAUGAGAGAGAGAAGCAGGAGAUUGACAGGGCUGAAGGAGCCGGUGUGAUGGAGGGUCAUGCAGAAGGAGAGGCUGAGGCAGAGAGUCAGAGAGAGGAAGAGACAGACCAAGCAGCUGCAGCAACUAAUGAGUUAGGUGAAAAAGACACAGGGCCCAGACAGGUUAAGCUGAAGGGCUACCCACAGGACAGCUUUGGUGCUCAGAACAGUUUUGUAAAAUAUGGCGACUGGAUACGAGAUCCUGAACCUGAACAAGAAGAGGCUCCCAAACAAGUUCGAGAAUUUAGGGUACAACAGGACGUUUCUGAAUGGCGUAUUUGUGCCAAGUGUGAGCAAAUGCCUACAGAGCCUGAGAAUGGAUGCUGCAGGGAGAUGCCACAGGUAACAAGAAGACUACUGCAGCUUCCAAACCAAACAACGUGCAUCAUCCGGGACUUUUAGCUGUGUGAUUGAAUGUGUUCUCACUACAGAAUGCAUUCAACAUCUAUAGAGCAGACUAUGGGCCUUAUGUCUAAGGGGAAUAUAGCAACGUUACAGGUAUUUGGUGUACAGAAGCUUUGUUAGCUGGUCUUGGGGCUUUCUGG